rnacentral:rRNA from 1 species
ACUGCUCAGUAACACGUAGUCAACAUGCCCAGGGGACGUGGAUAACCUCGGGAAACUGAGGCUAAACCGCGAUAGGCCAAGAUUUCUGGAAUGGAUCAUGGCUUAAAUCUAUAUGGCCCCUGGAUUGGACUGCGGCCGAUCAGGCUGUUGGUGAGGUAAUGGCCCACCAAACCUGUAACCGGUACGGGCUCUGAGAGGAGGAGCCCGGAGAUGGGCACUUAGACAAGGGCCCAGGCCCUAUGGGGCGCAGCAGGCGCGAAACCUCUGCAAUAAGCGAAAGCUUGACAGGGUUACUCUGAGUGAUUUCCGCUAAGGAAGUCUUUUGGCACCUCUAAAAAUGGUGCAGAAUAAGGGGUGGGCAAGUCUGGUGUCAGCCGCCGCGGUAAUACCAGCACCCCGAGUGGUCGGGACGAUUAUUGGGCCUAAAGCAUCCGUAGCCGGUCCUGCAAGUCCUCCGUUAAAUCCACCCGCUCAACGGUUGGGCCGCGGGGGAUACUACAGGGUUAGGAGGCGGGAGAGGCAAGCGGUACUCGAUGGGUAGGGGUAAAAUCCACUGAUCCAUUGAAGACCACCAGUGGCGAAGGCGGCCUGCCAGAACGCGCUCGACGGUGAGGGAUGAAAGCUGGGGGAGCAAACCGGAUUAGAUACCCGGGUAGUCCCAGCUGUAAACGAUGCAGACUCGGUGAUGGGCUGGCUUCGUGCCAACCCGGUGCCGCAGGGAAGCCGUUAAGUCUGCCGCCUGGGGAGUACGGUCGCAAGACUGAAACUUAAAGGAAUUGGCGGGGGAGCA